rnacentral:rRNA from 1 species
GUUGCCAUCAGGUCAAGCUGGGGACUCUAAUGAAACUGCCUACGCAAGUAGUGAGGAAGGUGGGGAUGACGUCAAAUCAGCACGGCCCUUACGGCCUGGGCUACACACGUGCUACAAUGGUCGGUACAAAGGGUUGCCAAGCCGCGAGGUGGAGCUAAUCCCAUAAAACCGAAUCGUAGUCCGGAUCGCAGUCUGCAACUCGACUGCGUGAAGUCGGAAUCGCUAGUAAUCGUGAAUCAGAAUGUCACGGUGAAUACGUUCCCGGGCCUU